rnacentral:rRNA from 1 species
AUGCACGCUGGCGGCGUGCCUAAUACAUGCAAGUCGAGCGAACGGACGAGAAGCUUGCUUCUCUGAUGUUAGCGGCGGACGGGUGAGUAACACGUGGAUAACCUACCUAUAAGACUGGGAUAACUUCGGGAAACCGGAGCUAAUACCGGAUAAUAUUUUGAACCGCAUGGUUCAAAAGUGAAAGACGGUCUUGCUGUCACUUAUAGAUGGAUCCGCGCUGCAUUAGCUAGUUGGUAAGGUAACGGCUUACCAAGGCAACGAUGCAUAGCCGACCUGAGAGGGUGAUCGGCCACACUGGAACUGAGACACGGUCCAGACUCCUACGGGAGGCAGCAGUAGGGAAUCUUCCGCAAUGGGCGAAAGCCUGACGGAGCAACGCCGCGUGAGUGAUGAAGGUCUUCGGAUCGUAAAACUCUGUUAUUAGGGAAGAACAUAUGUGUAAGUAACUGUGCACAUCUUGACGGUACCCAAUCAGAAAGCCACGGCUAACUACGUG